GCACGUCUAGCUCAGUUGGCACAACGUAAGACUUUUAACCUUGUGGUCAUGGGUUCGAGCCCCACGAUGGUUG
rnacentral:tRNA from 7 species